UUCUUCCCGUAUAGGGUACCUGCGGAAGGAUCAUUAGAUUGAAUUAUCAUUGUUGCUCGAGUUCUUGUUUAGAUCUUUUACAAUAAUGUGUAUCUUUAUUGAAGAUGUGCGCUUAAUUGCGCUGCUUCUUUAGAGUGUCGCAGUAGAAGUAGUCUUGCUUGAAUCUCAGUCAACGCUACACACAUUGGAGUUUUUUACUUUAAUUUAAUUCUUUCUGCUUUGAAUCGAAAGGUUCAAGGCAAAAAACAAACACAAACAAUUUUAUUUUAUUAUAAUUUUUUAAACUAAACCAAAAUUCCUAACGGAAAUUUUAAAAUAAUUUAAAACUUUCAACAACGGAUCUCUUGGUUCUCGCAUCGAUGAAGAACGUAGCGAAUUGCGAUAAGUAAUGUGAAUUGCAGAUACUCGUGAAUCAUUGAAUUUUUGAACGCACAUUGCGCCCUUGAGCAUUCUCAGGGGCAUGCCUGUUUGAGCGUCAUUUCCUUCUCAAAAGAUAAUUUAUUAUUUUUUGGUUGUGGGCGAUACUCAGGGUUAGCUUGAAAUUGGAGACUGUUUCAGUCUUUUUUAAUUCAACACUUAGCUUCUUUGGAGACGCUGUUCUCGCUGUGAUGUAUUUAUGGAUUUAUUCGUUUUACUUUACAAGGGAAAUGGUAACGUACCUUAGGCAAAGGAUUGCUUUUAAUAUUCAUCAAGUUUGACCUCAAAUCAGGUAGGAUUACCCGCUGAACUUAGCAUAUCAUUAAACGAGAAAGGAUCAUUAGAUUGAAUUAUCAUUGUUUCCUCGAGUUCUUGUUUAGAUCUUUUUACAUAAUGUGUAU
rnacentral:rRNA from 1 species